rnacentral:rRNA from 1 species
CAGCCGCCGCGGUAAUACCGGCGGCCCGAGUGGCGGUCACUAUUAUUGGGCUUAAAGCGUCCGUAGCCGGGUUGGGAAGUCCUCCGGGAAAUCUGGCCGCUUAACGGUCAGAAUGCCGGAGGAUACUCCCAGCCUAGGGAGCGGGAGAGGCCGAGGGUAUUCCCGGGGUAGGGGUGGAAUCCUAUAAUCCCGGGAGGACCACCUGUGGCGAAGGCGCUCGGCUGGAACGCGGCCGACGGUGAGGGACGAAGGCCAGGGGAGCAAACCGGAUUAGAUACCCGGGUAGUCCUGGCUGUAAACGAUGCGGACUUUGUGUCGGACAAGCUAUGAGCUUGUCCGGUGCCGGAGGGAAACCGUUAAGUCCGCCGCCUGGGGAGUACGGCCGCAAGGCUGAAACUUAAAGGAAUUGGCGGG